GGGUUGUGAGGUUAAGCGACUAAGCGUACACGGUGGAUGCCCUGGCAGUCAGAGGCGAUGAAGGACGUGCUAAUCUGCGAAAAGCGUCGGUAAGGUGAUAUGAACCGUUAUAACCGGCGAUGUCCGAAUGGGGAAACCCAGUGUGAUUCGUCACACUAUCGUUAACUGAAUACAUAGGUUAACGAGGUUAACGAGGCGAACCGGGGGAACUGAAACAUCUAAGUACCCCGAGGAAAAGAAAUCAACCGAGAUUCCCCCAGUAGCGGCGAGCGAACGGGGAGCAGCCCAGAGUCUGAAUCAGCUUGUGUGUUAGUGGAACGGUCUGGAAAGUCCGACGGUACAGGGUGAUAGUCCCGUACACCAAAAUGCACAGGCUGUGAACUCGAAGAGUAGGGCGGGACACGUGGUAUCCUGUCUGAAUAUGGGGGGACCAUCCUCCAAGGCUAAAUACUCCUGACUGACCGAUAGUGAACCAGUACCGUGAGGGAAAGGCGAAAAGAACCCCGGCGAGGGGAGUGAAAAAGAACCUGAAACCGUGUACGUACAAGCAGUGGGAGCACCUUCGGGUGUGACUGCGUACCUUUUGUAUAAUGGGUCAGCGACUUAUAUUCUGUAGCAAGGUUAACCGUAUAGGGGAGCCGCAGGGAAACCGAGUCUUAACUGGGCGUUAAGUUGCAGGGUAUAGACCCGAAACCCGGUGAUCUAGCCAUGGGCAGGUUGAAGGUUGGGUAACACUAACUGGAGGACCGAACCGACUAAUGUUGAAAAAUUAGCGGAUGACUUGUGGCUGGGGGUGAAAGGCCAAUCAAACCGGGAGAUAGCUGGUUCUCCCCGAAAGCUAUUUAGGUAGCGCCUCGUGAACUCAUCUUCGGGGGUAGAGCACUGUUUCGGCUAGGGGGUCAUCCCGACUUACCAACCCGAUGCAAACUACGAAUACCGAAGAAUGUUAUCACGGGAGACACACGGCGGGUGCUAACGUCCGUCGUGAAGAGGGAAACAACCCAGACCGCCAGCUAAGGUCCCAAAGUCAUGGUUAAGUGGGAAACGAUGUGGGAAGGCACAGACAGCCAGGAUGUUGGCUUAGAAGCAGCCAUCAUUUAAAGAAAGCGUAAUAGCUCACUGGUCGAGUCGGCCUGCGCGGAAGAUGUAACGGGGCUAAACCAUGCACCGAAGCUGCGGCAGCGACACUAUGUGUUGUUGGGUAGGGGAGCGUUCUGUAAGCCUGCGAAGGUGUGCUGUGAGGCAUGCUGGAGGUAUCAGAAGUGCGAAUGCUGACAUAAGUAACGAUAAAGCGGGUGAAAAGCCCGCUCGCCGGAAGACCAAGGGUUCCUGUCCAACGUUAAUCGGGGCAGGGUGAGUCGACCCCUAAGGCGAGGCCGAAAGGCGUAGUCGAUGGGAAACAGGUUAAUAUUCCUGUACUUGGUGUUACUGCGAAGGGGGGACGGAGAAGGCUAUGUUAGCCGGGCGACGGUUGUCCCGGUUUAAGCAUGUAGGCUGGUUGUCCAGGCAAAUCCGGAUAAUCAAGGCUGAGGUGUGAUGACGAGGCACUACGGUGCUGAAGUAACAAAUGCCCUGCUUCCAGGAAAAGCCUCUAAGCAUCAGGUAACAUCAAAUCGUACCCCAAACCGACACAGGUGGUCAGGUAGAGAAUACCAAGGCGCUUGAGAGAACUCGGGUGAAGGAACUAGGCAAAAUGGUGCCGUAACUUCGGGAGAAGGCACGCUGGUGUGUAGGUGAAGUCCCUGCGGRUG
rnacentral:rRNA from 1 species